rnacentral:rRNA from 1 species
AUACGGAGGGUGCGAGCGUUAAUCGGAAUUACUGGGCGUAAAGCGUGCGUAGGCGGUUUGCUAAGUCAGAUGUGAAAGCCCCGGGCUUAACCUGGGAACUGCAUUUGAUACUGGCAGACUAGAGUAUGAUAGAGGGGGGUAGAAUUCCUGGUGUAGCGGUGAAAUGCGUAGAUAUCAGGAGGAAUACCAGUGGCGAAGGCGGCCCCUGGAUCAAUACUGACGCUGAGGUACGAAAGCGUGGGGAGCGAACAGGAUUAGAAACCCUAGUAGUCC